AUACCUUAAAUAAAGUAUUGUAAGUUUGUAACACAAGUUUAUUAUGUGUUGGAAGAAACAACCAGGUCGAAAGAAAAGUCCCUAUGCUGAACUUUAUUUUAUAUAGGCUGAACUAUAAUUUGCCUUCAUUACAAAUACAAAUUUGUAGUGAAUUGGAAGAUAAUUCACCAUGCAUGGAGCACACUUUUUAUUAAGAAAAAUAGAAUAAAGCCUUGUGUAGAGAAAACUGGUAGUAGGUCAAUAUAGAUACUGAUGGUUGUACUUUUCUUCUGAAUCACUUUAUGCUUCUUUGAUGUAAACGCCCUGCAUCACUUUAUGCUCUUUAGGUGACUCUCUGUAUUUCUUUGAUUGAUGGCUGGAACCUUUUGUGCAUGUGCUGAAGUUCCCACUUCGGUCCAAUCCUAGAUAGACUGUUCUCCCUGUGCUUGCUUCAGUAAAACCACUGUAAAUGAGAGAAAUAGAGCCUUUUAUACAUUAUAAAGUGCGGGUCUCAAAGACAUGAAGGGUGAUUAUAAAAUUCGGGUGGCCCCAACGUCAGAACACACCAAAGCAGCGUUGUAUAUAUAAGAAUAUAGGCAUAUUUUUUCAUGUAAGGAAUAUAUCAUUCAUAUGAAUUACAUGCUUUCAGUUUUGUGAGAGAAAUAGAAACAUAAUGUAUUUCUCUACGCUAAUAUUGGGGAAAGAUUGAUACACAGGAUAGCGUGGCCGGACAGAACGAGAGUACCUUGUUUUUUAUGUGGCCGAGCUUCAUCUUGUUUUCCUCUGAUUCGCACCACUUCUUCAAAUCAGGGCAUUCGGUAAUGUAAAGUGUUUCAAGCUUGGUGAGGUGUUGUAUGGCCUCCGGCAAAGACCCGAUGCCUUCACAA
rnacentral:lncRNA from 1 species